CGGGAACGACCGGCUCGGUGACCGGACCUGUUUUGGGUACAGGACGCGCGGGGUUCGACUCCCUGGUUCCCGAC
rnacentral:tRNA from 1 species